rnacentral:siRNA from 1 species
AAGUAGUAGAAAGAAAGGGUA